UACUGAAAAUACGAAAAAUUAGCCAGGAGUGAUGACGGGUGCCUGUAAUCCCAGCUACUCAGGAGGCUGAGGCAGGACAAUCACUUGAACCCGGGAGGCGGAGGUUGCAGUGAGCCAAGAUCACGCCACUGCACUCCAGCCUGCGCGACAGAGUGAAACUCUAUCUCAAAAAAAAAAAAAAAAAGCCCCAGGAGGAGGCGAGGAGAGAAGGAAGGCACCAGGUGCAAGUUGCUGACACCGAAGCUGGAGGAAGAAGCUCAGAGACAAGCGAAGUGGGGCACCUGUAGCCCAGGGAGUGGGCAAAGAAAUGGAUUCUCCCCCAGAGCCUCCACAAGGAGUGCAACCUUCCUCGAACUGAGCCUAGAAAUAUUUGGUGGUGGCAGGACAAAGAAGACAGAAGGUGGAGCUUGGCUUGUGAGGUGAGACUUGGGAGAGAGUCAGGAACAAAAUGAAAACUGUGUGUGUAGACAGCAGUCAAGGAGCAUGAAUCAGUUCAAAUGCAGGCUGAUUCCCUCUGAUCAGUGGAUCCAAAGAAAGGCAAUUUAUUAGGCUAUUUCAUUAUUUUCUUUGUUCAUUUUCAAAUAAAUAUCUCAUAUGUUUUAAGCAGCUUGUGUACCACAUUUUGUAACUUUUAUAAUAUGCA
rnacentral:lncRNA from 1 species